rnacentral:rRNA from 1 species
CCCCGUUGAAACGUUGGCGGAUGAGUUGUGGCUAGGGGUGAAAUUCCAAUCGAACCCGGAGAUAGCUGGUUCUCCCCGAAAUAGCUUUAGGGCUAGCGUCGAGAGAAGAGUUGCGUGAAGGUAGAGCACUGAAUAUGUGAUGGCCCCAUCUCGGGGUACUGAGCAUAAUCAAACUGCGAAUGUCACGCCAACAUGCUCGGCAGUCAGACAGCGGGUGAUAAGGUCCGUUGUCAAGAGGGAAACAGCCCAGACCAUCAGCUAAGGUCCCAAAAUGUAUGCUAAGUGGAAAAGGAUGUGGAGAUGUACAGACAACUAGGAGGUUGGCUCAGAAGCAGCCAUCCUUUAAAGAGUGCGUAACAGCUCACUAGUCGAAUGACUCUGCGCCGAUAAUUUACCGGGGCUAAGCAUACUACCGAAGCUAUGGAUCCCAAGGGAUGGUAGGGGAGCGUUCCAUGAACGGAGAAGUACGACCGAAAGGACGUGUGGAGAUCAUGGAAGAGAGAAUGCCGGUGUGAGUAGCGGAACGUGGGUGAGAAUCCCACGCACCGAAAACCCAAGGUUUCCAGAGGAAGGUUCGUCCGCUCUGGGUAAGUCGGGACCUAAGGCGAGGCCGAAAGGCGUAGUCGAUGGACAACAGGUAGAGAUUCCUGUACCCGUAUAUAUGUGAAGGAAUGACGGAGAGAGGAAGCUGCAGCCAGCGGCUGGAAGAGCUGGUGCAAGCGAGAUAUCGGGAUGGCAGGCAAAUCCACCAUCCGAAACGAGAAGGCGUGAAGCGUACGGAAAGCUACGGCGAGUACGGAAGGCAGUGGAGGAACUUCCAAGAAAAGUUUCUAACGUUAAGUAUAUAUGGCCCGUACCGAAAAUGGACACACAUGGGUGAGGAGAGAAUCCUAAGGUGAGCGAGAGAACUAUAGCUAAGGAACUCUGCAAAAUGACUCCGUAACUUAGGGAGAAGGAGUGCUCAUAGAGAUAUGAGCCGCAGUGAAACGGCCCAAGCGACUGUUUACCAAAAACACAGCUCUCUGCUAAGUCGAAAGACGACGUAUAUGGGGUGACGCCUGCCCGGUGCUGGAAGGUUAAGGGGAUGUGUCAGCGCAAGCGAAGCACUGAAUUGAAGCCCCAGUAAACGGCGGCCGUAACUAUAACGGUCCUAAGGUAGCGAAAUUCCUUGUCAGGUAAGUUCUGACCCGCACGAAAGGCGUAACGAUUUGGGCGCUGUCUCAGCUGUAGACUCGGUGAAGUCUUAGUACCUGUGAAGAUGCAGGUUACCCGCGACUAGACGGAAAGACCCCAUGGAGCUUCACUGCAGGUUGAUAUUGGGAUUUGAUGCAGCAUGUACAGGAUAGGUAGGAGGCAAAGAGAUGGAUACGCCAGUAUUCAAGGAGCCGCUGUUGGGAUACUACCCCUGUUGUAUUGGAUUUCUAACCGGACGACGUAGAGCCGUUGACGGGACAGUGUCAGUCGGGCAGUUUGACUGGGGCGGUCGCCUCCCAAAGAGUAACGGAGGCGCCCAAAGAUACCCUCAGCUUGGAUGGAAACCAAGCGCAGAGUGCAAAGGCAAAAGGGUGUUUGACUGCGAGACCCACAAGUCGAGCAGGGACGAAAGUCGGGCUUAGUGAUCCGGCGGUGCUGAAUGGAAAGGCCGUCGCUCAACGGAUAAAAGCUACCCUGGGGAUAACAGGCUGAUCUCCCCCAAGAGUUCACAUCGACGGGGAGGUUUGGCACCUCGAUGUCGGCUCAUCGCAUCCUGGAGCUGAAGUCGGUUCCAAGGGUUGGGCUGUUCGCCCAUUAAAGCGGUACGCGAGCUGGGUUCAGAACGUCGUGAGACAGUUCGGUCCCUAUCUGUCGUGGGCGCAGGAAAUUUGAGAAGAGCUGUCCUCAGUACGAGAGGACCGGGAUGGACGCAUCAAUGGUGGACCAGUUGUCACGCCAGUGGCAUAGCUGGGUAGCUAAAUGCGGAAGGGAUAAACGCUGAAGGCAUCUAAGUGUGAAACCCACUUCAAGAUGAGAUUUCCCAUUGCGCAAGCAAGUAAGACCCCUUAAAGACGAUAAGGUAGAUAGGUCAGGAGUGUAAGCAUGGUGACAUGUUAAGCGGACUGAUACUAAUAGGUCGAGGGCUUGACCGA